AACGAACGCUGGCGGCAUGCCUAACACAUGCAAGUCGAACGAGACCUUCGGGUCUAGUGGCGCACGGGUGCGUCACGCGUGGGAACCUGCCCUUAGGUUCGGAAUAACUCCCCGAAAGGGGUGCUAAUACCGGAUAAUGUCUUCGGACCAAAGAUUUAUCGCCCUUGGAUGGGCCCGCGUUGGAUUAGCUAGUUGGUAGGGUAAAAGCCUACCAAGGCGACGAUCCAUAGCUGGUCUGUGAGGAUGAUCAGCCACACUGGGACUGGGACGCGGCCCAGACUCCUACGGGAUGCAGCAGUGGGGAAUAUUGGAAAAUGGGCGAAAGCCUGAACCAGCAAUGCCGCGUGAGUGAUGAAGGCCUUAGAGUUGUAAAGCUCUUUUACCCGGGAUGAUAAUGACAGUACCGGGAGAAUAAGCUCCGGCUAACUCCGUG
rnacentral:rRNA from 1 species